rnacentral:rRNA from 1 species
GAUGAACGCUGGCGGCGUGCCUAAUACAUGCAAGUCGAGCGAACGGACGAGAAGCUUGCUUCUCUGAUGUUAGCGGCGGACGGGUGAGUAACACGUGGAUAACCUACCUAUAAGACUGGGAUAACUUCGGGAAACCGGAGCUAAUACCGGAUAAUAUUUUGAACCGCAUGGUUCAAAAGUGAAAGACGGUCUUGCUGUCACUUAUAGAUGGAUCCGCGCUGCAUUAGCUAGUUGGUAAGGUAACGGCUUACCAAGGCAACGAUGCAUAGCCGACCUGAGAGGGGGUUCGCGGACAGUGGAAGUGAGACGCCGUCCAGGCACCUACGGGAGGCAGCAGCAGGUAAUGUAGCGCAAUGGGCGAAAGCCUGAAGGAUCAACGGCGGGUGGGUGAUGAAGGUCCGCGGGUCGGAAAACUCUGUUAUUGGGGAAGAACAUUUGUGUAAGUAACGGAGCGCAUCUUAACGGUACCUAUAAAGAAAGCCCCGCCUAACUACGG